rnacentral:rRNA from 1 species
UACGGGGGGAGCAAGCGUUAUCCGGAUUCACUGGGUUUAAAGGGUGUGUAGGCGGAUUUUUAAGUCAGUGGUGAAAUCUCCGGGCUCAACCCGGAAACUGCCAUUGAUACUAUUAGUCUUGAAUUCUGUUGAGGUGGGCGGAAUACAUCAUGUAGCGGUGAAAUGCUUAGAUAUGAUGUAGAACACCGAUUGCGAAGGCAGCUCACUAAGCAGACAUUGACGCUGAGGCACGAAAGCGUGGGGAGCAAACAGG